GACAACCAGGGCUACAAGUAGAACACAAAACAACGUGACAUUAACAGUUGGCAUUCAUGAGCUUUUAUUGACAAAUGGCAACAAAUUUAAAAAAGUCAGCCAAGCAAGAACCUAAUAAUAAUGAAUUUAUAUGAAUGCUGUAAGUACAUACAUUUUUUUCUCACAAUGUUUAACAGGGGUUAAAAGUCCAAAACACACCAGUGUCCCGAUGGGACUCAUUGGGUUUGACUUCCUCAUGGUAUUAAAAAUCAUUUAAGUCUGAUUCAUUUUACAGAAUUAUACAAAAUACUUUUCAAGUUCAGUAAAAACAUAUAUCAAAAUAAUUGUUCCUGAGGCCUCAGAGUGUGGCGCAGUGUAUCGCAACUCCUUGUGGUUGGCCGGGCGCCUCCAGGCUGACUCCGGUCGUCAGUUCAACGGUUUUUCCUCUGACACAUUGGUGCACUUGGCUUCCGAGGUUAAACGGGCGGGUGUUAAGAGGCGUGGUUUGGCGGGUCAUGUUUCGGAGGACACAUGACUCGACCUUCGCCUCUCCCGAGCCCGUUGGGAAGAUGCAGCGAUGAGACAAGAUCGGAAUUGGAUCGCAAUUGGAUAUCGCUAAACUGGGGAGAAAAGGGUCGUUGUCCUGUUGGAAGGUGAACCUACAACCCAGUCUGAGAUGGAAAACAUCCCCACAGUUUGAUGCUGCCACCACCAUGCUUCAACGUAGGGAUGAUGCCAAUUCCUUCGACCUCAUGGCUUGGUUUUUGCUCUGACAUGCACUGUCAACUGUGGGAUCUUAUAUAGACAGGUGUGUGCCCUUCCAAAUCAUGUCCAAUCAAUUUAAUUUACCACAGGUGCACUCCAAUCAAGUUGUAGAAACUGUAUUCUGUAUAAC
rnacentral:lncRNA from 1 species